UUAGUGGCGGACGGGUGAGUAACGCGUGGAAAACCUGCCGUAUACUGGGGGAUAACACUUAGAAAUAGGUGCUAAUACCGCAUAAGCGCACAGCUUCGCAUGAAGCGGUGUGAAAAACUCUGGUGGUAUACGAUGGUUCCGCGUCUGAUUAGCUAGUUGGUGGGGUAACGGCCUACCAAGGCAACGAUCAGUAGCCGGCCUGAGAGGGUGAACGGCCACAUUGGGACUGAGACACGGCCCAAACUCCUACGGAAGGCAGCAG
rnacentral:rRNA from 1 species